rnacentral:rRNA from 1 species
GACGUAGGGCGCGAGCGUUAAUCGGAAUUACUGGGCGUAAAGCGUGCGCAGGCGGUUUUGUAAGCCAGAUGUGAAAUCCCCGGGCUUAACCUGGGAACUGCAUUUGGGACUGCAAGGCUUGAGUACGGCAGAGGGGGGUAGAAUUCCUGGUGUAGCAGUGAAAUGCGUAGAUAUUGGGAGGAACACCAGUGGCGAAGGCGGCUCGCUGGACCGGUUCUGACGCUGAUGCGCGAAAGCGUGGGGAGCAAACGGG